AUUGAACGCUGGCGGCAUGCUUUACACAUGCAAGUCGAACGGUAACAGGUUAAGCUGACGAGUGGCGAACGGGUGAGUAAUGCAUCGGAACGUGCCCGGUCGUGGGGGAUAACGCAGCGAAAGCUGCGCUAAUACCGCAUACGAUCUGAGGAUGAAAGCGGGGGACCGUAAGGCCUCGCGCGAUCGGAGCGGCCGAUGUCAGAUUAGGUAGUUGGUGGGGUAAAGGCUCACCAAGCCAACGAUCUGUAGCUGGUCUGAGAGGACGACCAGCCACACUGGGACUGAGACACGGCCCAGACUCCUACGGGAGGCAGCAGGGGGGAAUUUUGGACAAUGGGCGAAAGCCUGAUCCAGCAAUGCCGCGUGCAGGAAGAAGGCCUUCGGGUUGUAAACUGCUUUUGUACGGAGCGAAAAGGUCUCCUCUAAUACAGGGGGCUCAUGACGGUACCGUAAGAAUAAGCACCGGCUAACUACGUGCCAGCAGCCGCUGUAA
rnacentral:rRNA from 1 species